GACGAACGCUGGCGGCGUGCUUAACACAUGCAAGUCGAACGGAAAGGCCCUGCUUUUGUGGGGUGCUCGAGUGGCGAACGGGUGAGUAACACGUGAGUAACCUGCCCUUGACUUUGGGAUAACUUCAGGAAACUGGGGCUAAUACCGGAUAGGAGCUCCUGCUGCAUGGUGGGGGUUGGAAAGUUUCGGCGGUUGGGGAUGGACUCGCGGCUUAUCAGCUUGUUGGUGGGGUAGUGGCUUACCAAGGCUUUGACGGGUAGCCGGCCUGGGAGGGUGACCGGCCACAGUGGGACGGGGAUACGGCCCAGACUCCUACGGGAGGCAGCAGUGGGGAAUAGUACACAAUGGGCGGAAGCCUGAUGCAGCAACGCCGCGUGCGGGAUGACGGCCUUCGGGUUGUAAACCGCUUUCGCCUGUGACGAAGCGUGAGUGACGGUAAUGGGUAAAGAAGCACCGGCUAACUACGUG
rnacentral:rRNA from 1 species